rnacentral:rRNA from 1 species
UACGCAGGCGGGCUUGUAAGUCAGUGGUGAAAUACUGCCGCUCAACGGUAGAACUGCCAUUGAUACUGCAAGUCUUGAAUAUGGUUGAGGUAGGCGGAAUGUGUCGUGUAGCGGUGAAAUGCAUAGAUAUGACACAGAACGCCAAUUGCGAAGGCAGCUUACUAAGCCAUUAUUGACGCUGAGGCACGAAAGCGUGGGGAGCGAACAGGAUUAGAUACCCUGGUAGUC